rnacentral:rRNA from 1 species
AACGAACGCUGGCGGCAGGCUUAACACAUGCAAGUCGAACGCCCCGCAAGGGGAGUGGCAGACUGGUGAGUAACGCGUGGGAAUCUACCCAUCCCUACGGAAUAACGCAUGGAAACGUGUGCUAAUACCGUAUACGCCCUACGGGGGAAAGAUUUAUCGGGGGUGGAUGGGCCCGCGUUGGAUUAGCUAGUGGGUGGGGUAAAGGCCUACCAAGGCGACGAUCCAUAGCUGGUCUGAGAGGAUGAUCAUCCACAUUGGGACUGAGACACGGCCCAAACUCCUACGGGAGGCAGCAGUGGGGAAUAUUGGACAAUGGGCGCAAGCCUGAUCCAGCCAUGCCGCGUGAGUGAUGAAGGCCUUAGGGUUGUAAAGCUCUUUCACCGGAGAAGAUAAUGACGGUAUCCGGAGAAGAAGCCCCGGCUAACUUCGUG